rnacentral:lncRNA from 1 species
GACACCCUGAUAAACAUGCUGCAGUGCUUUGAGUUUCACGAGAGUCACAUUCAUAGUCUGAAGAGUCGCCCUCACCGUCUGUCCGAAAACAAUGAGAGAAAAUCAGAGUCAGAAAGUGAAGACACUCCAUUAUCUUGCACACCACCACAAUUCCUAAAAGCCAAGAACAUGUUCACCUACAGUCGCAUAAACAAGUAUACAGUACGAUUAAGUGACAAAAAGAGGGACCCUCUGAGCAAAAUCUCAGAGAGAUUUAUCAUAAAUGCUGUGGAGGAGCGUGUGUGUGACAGACAAAGCAAUUUGUCAGAAGUCCAGACUGCGGAGGAGAAAGACCUGUGGCCUGUUGAUGAUAGCGAGCCAUCACAAAGCUCUAUAGACUCCAACUCCACAACUUCCUCUUUCAAUACUGGGAGCACUGAGGCUGAAUCUACCUGUAGUUUCUGUGAAGACCAGACAGGAAGUGAAGAUGGAAGCCCAGGAAGAAUUAUGCUGGAUACACCUCCAUCCAGAUCAGGAAUUCUUCUGAAAGACCCCAUGCUUGGAGCUUUUCCGGCUGCAUGGAAAAAGCGGUUUCCUUUCAGCCCUAUGCUACUAAAAACACCAGUACUGCCUCUGCGUCCGCCUCUUCGGGAAGCAGACAGUUUGACCCUCAACCCAUCUCUGCUCAUAUCACCUUCUCAAGGCCUGAGCCGUUCUCUCCAUCCGGAAGGACGAGAGGCGCUCCAAACAUUAUUUGAGGACGUGUGGGUCACCCCAGAAUCUACCGUCUUAAAAAGUCCCAGUUUGCCAGGCAGCUUUGCAAAUGAAUCAAUUGUAAUGAGUGCUGGAAGUAGCAGCAAUCUGUCCUUCAAGAGUGAGGAAGAGAACAACAGCUCUGAAGAUGAGACCCCAAAACAACUCAUUCCUCUGAAGAGAGCAAGAAAAGUCUGUUCACACAGGCACCCUUCAAAAAGAGGACGUGUUACAACACAGCCAAACCCUAAGAAGAAAUGUGUGAACGGCUUCAUUAUGUUCUGCCGAAUUAACAGAAAAUUAUAUAUCAGAUCCUAUCCUGGCAUCCCGUCCACUAUGGUCACCAAAGAGUUAGCCAAUCUGUGGCACAUCCUGCCCAAGAAGGAGAGGCGUUUGUACUGA